rnacentral:rRNA from 1 species
UACAGAGGUCUCAAGCGUUGUUCGGAUUCAUUGGGCGUAAAGGGUGCGUAGGUGGCGCCGUAAGUCGGGUGUGAAAUUUCGGAGCUUAACUCCGAAACUGCAUUCGAUACUGCGGUGCUUUGAGGACUGGAGAGGAGACUGGAAUUCAUGGUGUAGCAGUGAAAAUGCGUAGAGAUCAUGAGGAAGACCAGUGGCGAAAGGCGGGGUCUCUGGACAGUUCCUGACAUGAGACACGAAGGCCAGGGGGAGCAAAACGGGG